AACGAACGCUGGCGGCAUGCCUAACACAUGCAAGUCGAACGAGACCUUCGGGUCUAGUGGCGCACGGGUGCGUAACGCGUGGGAACCUGCCCUUAGGUUCGGAAUAACUCCCCGAAAGGGGUGCUAAUACCGGAUAAUGUCUUCGGACCAAAGAUUUAUCGCCUUUGGAUGGGCCCGCGUUGGAUUAGCUAGUUGGUAGGGUAAAAGCCUACCAAGGCGGCGAUCCAUAGCUGGUCUGAGAGGAUGAUCAGCCACACUGGGACUGAGACACGGCCCAGACUCCUACGGGAGGCAGCAGUGGGGAAUAUUGGACAAUGGGCGAAUGCCUGAUCCAGCAAUGCCGCGUGAGUGAUGAAGGCCUUAGGGUUGUAAAGCUCUUUUACCCGGGAUGAUAAUGACAGUACCGGGAGAAUAAGCUCCGGCUAACUCCGUG
rnacentral:rRNA from 1 species